UGAAUCGUUAUGGGUUGGAUUGUGCCCAACUCCCACUUUGCCUCUUCUCUUUCUACUUCACACUUCACACGACAUCUCUUGUUCAUCCCAGCGCAUCCCCGAUCUGCAACCAGCGUGCCAGCCCCUCCGCCUCCAGCCGGCGGCCACUUCCUUCGCCAACGACAUUACAUCUGCCAUCACCGACGUCAGCAAACCUUCUCCCUCCCAACGUCAGUCUGACCUGCAAUCCACCACCCCUUAACCAAGUAAAAUUGCUCCCCUUUCUCUCUGUGAUCGACGAACAACAUCGCCUUGCCAUCUUGCCGCCACCAUCACCGUCGAAGUCGCUGCUGCAGUCGGUGAACCUUAUCAUUGGAUCAGAUUUCAUCUUUUUCUCUGAGUUUUGGGUACAUGCCUUCUGAUCUAUACAACUUGAACUCAACAUACAAGACAAAUGAGGAGCUAAAGUAUUGGAUAUAGGAGAUGCAUAACCACCAUCUGCUGGUAUUAUUUAGUUAUCUUUUUUGGUUUGGAGGAAUAUCUGAUGAUACUUUGUUCCUUUUCCAAUACUUUUAAAAUUGAUAGUAGCACAAAUCACAUGGUUUGAAUCAAUCCCAUUUGAGAUCAAAGUUUCUACUUUUAGUAUUUAUCACAUGAAGACCAUAUUGCCCUUUAAUAAACCUGUGUUCCUUCUCCUUUUGGCCUUUUUAAUCUAAAAAAGUUGUGCAGUGCAUGUAUGAAAAAACCAUCCAAUUUUGACAUUUACCAAAAAAGACCAUUUGGCCCUUUACUCAUAUUUUUGCACCUGAUCAUCCAGCUUUUGUUAUUAUUCACUCUCUUAUUCCAAAUGAACAAAAGCAUUAACAUGUUAUAAACUUACUAAUCCGUUAAUUACUAGUUAUUAUAUAAAAUCCAAAACUAUCUGAUGUUUCUUUGUUUCAAAGAAAUUUUGCAUAGGUGAUGAUGAGGCUUUCGAGUACUUAAGUGUAAGGUGAGUUGUGACUAAACUGUAGAGAGGUGACUUUGUCUUUGUGGUAGGUAUCAUUUUUCAUUUUACUUGAAUGUCUGCUUAUGACAAAACUCUAUCACAGAAAAACAAUAAUGUCUUCAAAUAUGUUUUGUUGAGUUUUUAUGAAUUUUUAAUUAUUGAUGAGAAGCUUCAAAGCUUGUUUUAAAAUGUUGUGUCAAGUUAGUUUCAUUAAAUAUAAUUUUUGAAAAAAAAUUAUAUUCCUUGGAGUUGGAGAAGUAAAAUAAUUAUAUUUUUGCUACAUUUUGUGGGAUUCAUGAAGGAUGGAACCCAGUGGUUGAAAGACAACACCAACAUCAAACUUGGUUGUAAAACACUCUAUCCUCUGGUAUUUAUUACUUGUUGGAUGCUGCAUAUGAUGAUCUCAUUCCUGCACAUCUUGUCUUCUUAAAGAGCAGGAAAUCAUUCUUGUUGAAGGUCUGAAACUUGAAGAUGUAGCCAGGAUUAUAUAAUGUCUAAAAAUUUCUAUUAGGUUUUUCUGAAUUUGUGUUUGUUUUAUUAUAUUUUUGUUUAUUUAAUGUUGAAAAAAGUGUGAAUUUUCAUGUAAAUUAUUAUAUAUAUUUUUUAAAAAAAAUAAAAUCACUAUUAGCAA